UAACAUACGUCGAUGUCGUCGACUCCGUCUCCCAAACUGUCCCAAUUCCUAAAAUUCUCCUGAACGCGUUCUUGAACAUGGAAGAAUCAGCAAUCCCGUGAGUUGAAUCAGAAGAGUGUUUUGAGAAAGUAGGGUGUCAAGUCAAGGGUCUGUUGAAUUGGGCGAUGGCGGGCGAUGCAAUUGUUGUUGAUGCAGGAACGAAAUCGACGAAGAGGAAAAGUGUUGAGUUGGUGAUGAGUAAAGAAGAAAUAAGGCUCGUAUUGGGGUUUUACGCCGUAAUUUGAUACCUUGUUCAACAGAGCAGUCUUCCCUUUUUAAAACUAGUGUGAUCUAACCUUAAUACAGAUGGUAAUUGUUGGAUCCAUGCCUCGCCAAUUUCAUGAAAUUAAUCCAGCAGUCAGGUAAAUAAUUAAAUAUUUAAAACGAAUAUAUAUAAUCAGACUUCGUUGCUAAUUUUAAGAACUGGAGCUGGGUAAAUCCAAAAUUCAUUCUCCUGUGCAUUUCAAGCUUCUUGAUUUAUUGUAUUUCAUUUUCAUAUUUUUCUUACACAUGAGUGCUGUUCAUGUCCUACAAUUACAAAUGGAUCAUGUAUGUUGCUCAUUUUAGUGAACAACUCCAAAAUUAAACACGCGUGAUACACUAGAUUCUUUGGUUAUCUUUUAAAUAAUUAGAUAGCCUAUAUACAUUAUUGUUUCUUUUGUUUAAGUUCUGUUGUUUGAAUCUAAAAACGACAACGAACAUGAGAAACAAAAUGGAGUGAAAUUAACCUUUGAAUAUACAUUACUCUUGUUUUAAGUUUACUUUGAAUAUACUAAAGCAGAAAAUAACAACUUACUGUAUUUUUAUACCAAUAUAGGCAACUUACUUGCAUCUUUUUAUAUGGGUAAAAGUAAAGUUCAUGUUUAAUGUUCUUUUUCAAUAAUCGAUGCUAAAUGCUUGUGUUCUUGAUAGGGCUUGGGCAAAUUCAAUAAGCACCAAAUGUGAAACAAAUGAGAACCCCAUGCCCUCUAACCUCUUUUUCAGACUAUAUAAUGUUGUUUAACAUUAGCAUUUAUUUUUUAAAACAACAUGUCAUACACAAAAAAGGAAAUCCAAGGGUUAAACUUGGCUGCAUGAAAUAUCUGUUGAGGGGAGAUUGUCUUUGGUGUGGCAAUUGUUGUAUAUAAUAUGGCCAAAGUUGAAGCUGUUAUAGAGAGACUAGAGGAUCAAAGAAGGACCGAGACAAGAAACCUUGUUAAGGAUCUUUAGUUGAUAUAUGAUUAGCUUAGAAUUAUUAGAGUUUAGAUGUUGAUGUAACUCUGAGUUAUAAUUAUGUUCUUUGUUGUAAAACUUUAUUAUUGUUUCAUU
rnacentral:lncRNA from 1 species